rnacentral:tRNA from 1 species
GCGAGGAUAGCAUAGUGGUUAUGCGGUCGCCUGCAGAGCGACUCAGGGGAGUUCAAUUCUCUCUCCUCGCU